rnacentral:rRNA from 1 species
UACGGGGGGGGCAAGCGUUGUUCGGAAUUACUGGGCGUAAAGGGCUCGUAGGCGGCCAACUAAGUCACACGUGAAAUCCCCAGGCUUAACCUGGGAACUGCGUGUGAUACUGGAUGGCUUGAAUCCGGGAGAGGGAUGCGGAAUUCCAGGUGUAGCGGUGAAAUGCGUAGAUAUCUGGAGGAACACCGGUGGCGAAGGCGGCAUCCUGGACCGGCAUUGACGCUGAACAGCGAAAGCCAGGGGAGCAAACGGG